UACGGGGGGGGCAAGCGUUGUUCGGAAUUACUGGGCGUAAAGGGCGCGUAGGCGGUUCGCUAAGUUGAAUGUGAAAACUCUGGGCUUAACCCAGAGCCUGCAUCCAAAACUGGCGAACUGGAGUACUGGAGGGGAAAGCGGAAUUCCUGGUGUAGCGGUGAAAUGCGUAGAUAUCAGGAGGAACACCGGUGGCGAAGGCGGCUCUCUGGUCCACAACUGACGCUGAGGUGCGAAAGCUAGGGGAGCAAACGGG
rnacentral:rRNA from 1 species